rnacentral:rRNA from 1 species
UAGGGAAUCUUCCACAAUGGGCGCAAGCCUGAUGGAGCAACACCGCGUGAGUGAAGAAGGGUUUCGGCUCGUAAAGCUCUGUUGUUGAAGAAGAACGUGCAUGAGAGUAACUGUUCAUGCAGUGACGGUAUUCAACCAGAAAGUCACGGCUAACUACGUGCCAGCAGCCGCGGUAAUACGUAGGUCCCGAGCGUUGUCCGGAUUUAUUGGGCGUAAAGCGAGCGCAGGCGGUUAGAUAAGUCUGAAGUGAAAGGCAGUGGCUCAACCAUUGUAGGCUUUGGAAACUGUUUAACUUGAGUGCAGAAGGGGAGAGUGGAAUUCCAUGUGUAGCGGUGAAAUGCGUAGAUAUAUGGAGGGACACCGGUGGCGAAAGCGGCUCUCUGGUCUGUAACUGACGCUGAGGCUCGAAAGCGUGGGGAGCGAACAGGAUUAGAUACCCUGGUAGUCCACGCCGUAAACGAUGAGUGCUAGGUGUUAGGUCCUUUCCGGGACUUAGUGCCGCAGCUAACGCAUUAAGCACUCCGCCUGGGGAGUACGACCGCAAGGUUG